AUUGAACGCUGGCGGCAGGCUUAACACAUGCAAGUCGAGCGGAGAUGAGGUGCUUGCACCUUAUCUUAGCGGCGGACGGGUGAGUAAUGCUUAGGAGUCUGCCUAUUAGUGGGGGACAACAUUCCGAAAGGAAUGCUAAUACCGCAUACGUCCUACGGGAGAACGCAGGGGAUCUUCGGCACUUGCGCUAAUAGAGGAGCCUAUGUCGGAUUAGCUAGUUGGUGGAGUAAUGGCCUACCAAGGCGAUGACGUGUAGCGGGACUGAGAGGUUGGUCAGCCACAAUAGCACUGAGACACGGGCUAUGCAUCUACGGAUGGCAGCAACCGGGAAUAUUGCGCAAUGGACGAAAGUCUGACGCAGCGACUCCGCGUGGAGGAUGACGGCCUUAGGGUUGUAAACUCCUUUUGACUGGGAAGCUCUGAUAGCAAUAUCAGGGGACGGUACCAGUAGAAUAAGCAUCUGCUAACCACGUGCCAGCCGCCGCGGUAAGAC
rnacentral:rRNA from 1 species